UCGGCUCCCAUGAAGUUAAUCGUACCUUGGUGCUCCGUACUAUUAAGACAAAAAGUGAAACCCAACCAGGCAGUGAACGUGUUCUUAGUGUCGUACAGGUACAUCCCCUGAGCCCUGCCGACGGGCGGAGAGUGCAGGUUGUUGUCGAGGGUGAUCGGGUCAUCGAAUACGGCUAUGUUCCCGAAAUGGGACUCGCCGGCCAGGAUGGUCCGGUUGGAGCCCUCGGGAGCCGCCACGAUGGCCGCGGUGGCGUUGGCCUUGUUCUGGCCGUUGUAGAUGAUGUCGUGGAAGAAGAGUACUAGCUCCUUGCAUGGAGCGUGUUGCUUCUUCUUGGCUGAUGAAGAAGUUGAGGAAAGGUAGAUGAAGAAGAUGAAGAAGAGAGCAAUCUUGCUUCUUGAGAUAGUCAUUUUUGUCCAAGUACAAAGGAUAAUUUUUGAAGAGAAGUAGUUAUAAUUUCUCUUUGUGGGUAACAAGUUAUUGAUGGAUGGUCCUUAUAUAAGGUGGACUGGAAUUUUUAUUUAUUAAUUUUUGUUAUAAAAAGGAAUCUUUAUUUAUUUAUAAGUGCAUUGUGGUUUAGUUAUGUCUGCAACUUCGGUUUUCUCAACAUGUUCAUUGGAGAAAGCCUGUUAUUAUUGUUGUAAUGUUAUUAACAAAUGUGGUUUGAUUAUUUUAAGUAUUGAGGGUAAUUUAAUUGGAGGUGGAAUUGGUAGGAUUGGAAGGUUAAUUUGGGAUGUCCAAGUAAUUACGUUGGAUAUAAUUUUCAUGGUCAUGAAACUAUAUAUUUCAUUGGAUUUGGAAGUUUANNNNNNNNNNNNNNNNNNNNNNNNNNNNNNNCAAGUUGUUAAAAUUUCAUUUGAGAUAUAAAAAUUAUCAAAUCCGAUAAAUUUGGCCUUCAAUCUUCGUUCCAACGAAUUUCACGAUUCCGGCAGGAAUUAGAGACCGAUCAGGAGUGAAAACGUGGCCUAUAGAUUUGGGUAAGAGGAGUUUAUGAAAAAGUGAUAUGAAAAUAGGAAAUUAAUAAAUAUAUGUUACAUACACUUACACUAGACAGCUAGCGAUGCUCCAAAAUAAUGAUUUAAUGCAUAUGGAAAGGUAUAAAAUUUGAAAUGCACUGGAUUGCAUACGUAAAAAAAAAUAUUACUUAUCUCAAAUAUAUAGAAUUAAAAUUGUGUAAUAUUGAAAAUUUAAACUCAAAGAUGAAUUGUGCCGUUCAGAAUGUGCUCUCCGAGAUAGAUAAAUAAUAAAAAGCAUGCAUUUUGAAUAUCACAUAUCACAAAUAAUAUUGUAAAAGGUAAAUAAUCUGUUUUCAAAUUCAAAUGAAACAACAUGAAAUUAAUUUUAUGAUUCUUGAGCAUUGAUUCCAUUGUCGUAGUGUAUUAUUGGUAAACUAUAAACAAAAAUUCACCCGCCACGCCCGCCGGCAGCUAGCUGAGAUUGUAGAGUGUGACGUGCGGCGGGCGCUAUUGGUUGACUCAAAAUUGCUGUUUUGAAAACAUGUCCCAAUCAUCGUUAGAGUUUAUCAAAAUACUAGGAGAAAAGGUUACGAGAGAGUAUAGGGGUAGAGUUUGACUCCUUAUCCAUAUUGUAGUUGAUAUAUCAAACGAAAUGGGAGAUUUAUAUGCACUUUGUUAUAGUGGAUUAUAAAAUUCAUGAGUUGAUGAGGAAGACGUAAAUGAUAUAGUUUAUUUAUAUUUAUUGUGAAGGCAAUUAUAUAUUAUGUAGCUGGUUAUCGUGAAGACCAUAUAAAAUUCAUGUGAUACGUAUAUUUUUCGACUCAUCUUGUUUUUUUUAGAGUAGAACUAGAAUCUCGGUCAAUGCAAGAUAGAAUACAGGAAAAGAAACAGGUGUCCAUUUUUUGGAGUAUACUAGAUUCUAACCCGGAACCUCCGGGUAACCAGACACAUGCUCUACCACUACACCAACUCCAUUUGAAAAAAAUAUUUUUCGACUCAUCUUACCGGCCAUCUAAUUGGGUCUCUCCUAAGGUUAAUCACUUAAGCUCGCAAACCAUGGUACAUAUAUUUUAGUGCAUGCUUGAUAAGACUGUAUAGUCUAUUAGAAGUAACCCGUGCGCUAUACCGUGAAAAAAUGUUAUGGUAAAGAUUUUGAGAGUGUGUGUUAGAAAAUUAUGAAAAAAAUACUAUAAUGGGCAUGAGUGACGAUUAAACGAUCAUAUGAAAGUAGUCUAGUCGAGAAGAAAAGGAAUCAGAUAAGAGUUUGUGAAUUAUCAUCUCAAUUGGAAAACUGAAUUUCCGAAAAGCUAAAAGUAGAAUGAAUAAAAAAAAUGAGUCGUCUAAAAGAACAACUUAAGAAUGAAAAGAAAAUUGGUGAAAUGGAGAAGAGUUGAAUUAAAAUGACAAAAUAGAUACAAUGAAAAAGAGGUGCAUGAUGAGCAUGGUGAGCCUGACAGGAGGGAAUCUAACCUAAUCAGACUUACCAUGUUUAUUAUGCAAUAAUAAGUCUCAUUGUACUAUUAUAUGGUUAAUAGUAGCCAAACCUAACCUGAUUAGAUUAGUCUGCUUGUUAAACUCGCAAUCCCCUUAAGAAUUAGCCUCCAAACGGUCAAAUUAACGUUAGGCUUCAGUGAUUUUUGUCUGAAAUUGGAGGGAGAAUGUCAUCGAGCCGUGAAGAAUCUAGUCACCCACGACACUGUUCACGAACCGAGCCGAGCUGAAUUUCAUUGUGUUCAAACUUGAUUUGUUAAUUUUUAGCCGAACUCGAGGUAGAAAAUUUUGGCUUGUGUCGACCCCGAUCCUAGUUGAUUAAUGACCAUUGAUGAGUCAAACUCGAACUCAAAUUUGAACAUCACUCAUUAAUGCCCUCGAUGCGAGUCUAUUUUGAGCUAAAUUUGAAUCUUGGAUGCUAGAAAACAUCAACAAGUCAAACUAUCCUAAAAUUUAGAAGUGUCUACAUAUAUUUUAUUAUAUAUAAUAUUACUUACUAAUUGCAUUAUUAAAUUUACUAACAAAUCAUAUACUCGAAUUAAUAUUCGAAUGGACCCAUUUAGGGUGAAGAAGUUAACCACGAUAAUUGACAAAAGUUAAGAGUACUUAGUAAGCGAUAGUAAGAGUGUUCAAAAGGGUAUAUGUCGCUUUCCAAACACUACAAAAUCCAAGAAAUUAAAAUACCAUAUAAAACACAAACGAAAUCAUAUAAUAUUGUUCAAAUUCUUAACUAGAUUCUCAAGAGACACUUUCAUUUUGUGUACGUAACAGAUCCAUUACAUCUCAAGUAUCACAAAACAUCAUAUAAAAAAAAAGAAAACAACCACAUAAUCAAACAUAUUCGAAUCCAUUAACGGGUCUUCUCGAUUCCAAAGUGAUCUCAUCUUGAUCAUCACCAACAUUCGUAGAACUUCAUGUCAACUCGAAGCCUAAAGUAUACAUCACCUUCAUACGAGUCCGUCAUGAUGGUCGCCACCCCACGGUGCAUAAAGAAGUCGCCGGUCCCACCAACAAUCGACACAUCCCUAGUCUUGUUCAUAAGCGGGUCGGCUCCCAUGAAGUUAAUCGUACCUUGGUGCUCCGUACUAUUAAUACAAAAAGUGAAACCCAACCAGGCAGUGAACGUGUUCUUAGUGUCGUACAGGUACAUCCCCUGAGCCCUGCCGACGGGCGGAGAGUGCAGGUUGUUGUCGAGGGUGAUCGGGUCAUCGAAUACGGCUAUGUUCCCGAAAUGGGACUCGCCGGCCAGGAUGGUUCGGUUGGAGCCCUCGGGAGCCGCCACGAUGGCCGCGGUGGCGUUGGCCUUG
rnacentral:lncRNA from 1 species